rnacentral:rRNA from 1 species
GUGGGGAAUAUUCCGCAAUGGACGAAAGUCUGACGGAGCAACGCCGCGUGAGGGAUGAAGGUUUUCGGACUGUAAAGCUCUGUUGUUUAGGAAGAAAGUGCCUGUUGCAAACAGUUACAGGUAUUGACGGUACUAAACGAGGAAGCCACGGCUAACUACGUGCCAGCAGCCGCGGGAAUACGUAGGUGGCAAGCGUUGUCCGGAAGUAUUGGGCGUAAAGAGCAUGUAGGCGGGAAUCUAAGUCUGUUGUGAAAAUGCGGGGCUCAACCCCGUAUUGCGAUGGAAACUGGGUUUCUUGAGUGCAGGAGAGGAAAGGGGAAUUCCCAGUGUAGCGGUGAAAUGCGUAGAUAUUGGGAGGAACACCAGUGGCGAAGGCGCCUUUCUGGACUGUGUCUGACGCUGAGAUGCGAAAGCCAGGGUAGCGAACGGGAUUAGAAACCCCAGUAGUCC